CAUCAGAACUGGGUUACAGGGGAAAGGAGAGUAUAGUUGCUCAAUCCAGCCAAAUUGGAGGAGUAUCUGGGACCAAAGUAGUGCUGCAUGCAACUGAGAAAGAUGGAAAAUCCAAGAUGGAGAGGGAAGCGACUCAUCAAGCUGCACAAUGAGUUAUCUGCAGAGCCAGGAGUAGAGGCCAGAGUCCUGACUGCCAAACCCAACUGUCACAAACUAAAAAAAAAAACAACGAGGAACCCACUUCAUCGGGUUCUAGCCCACGGAAGCUUAUGCCCAAAUAAAUUUGUUAGUCUCUAAGGUGCCACAAGGACUCCUCAUUGUUUUUGCUGAUGCAGACUAGCACGGCUACCACUCUGAAACUACACAAACUGCAUCUCUUGAUUCUUGCUUUUCUUGUUCUGAAGCCAACAAUCUGCACGGUGACCUGGGAUCCCACACAGGCCUGGCUGGGCAGAUUAGAAUCCAUUCAGACCCCACUGUCUCUCGUAUACCUCAUCACACGAGAUGAUGCAACAAUGCUGUGAUGUUAACUGCUCAUCCCUGACAUACUUCACCAAAGGAGAAGAUGCCACAGUACCUGGAUGUUAUCAUCUCCUGCCUAGUCACUGCCCAGCAGCCCCACAGAUGAGCAGAGAAAGGUGAGCUUGGAGAAGCCAGUAUAAGUUCACUCAAUAACCCACUGGAGUCUGAAAGGACAGGGAUAUGGAGAAAGACUGGAGGGACUGCAGAGAGAGGGUGAAAUGACAAGAGACUAGAGUACAGGGCGGUGCCAUGUGCAGUAGAGAGAAAACAAGUGAUUGCCCAGGAAGAGGAAGAGGGGUGGGAAGAGAAUCCCUGGAGGAGAAGCUGUGAGACACUGUGUGAAAGACGACAGAGAAUCAUAAUGGAUCAUGCUGAAGUGAAAAAGGAAAAGAACUACUGCAAGGGAUCACACUGAGGAGGAAGAGAAGAGACAGCAAGAAAUUGCACAGGGGAGGAGGACAGAGCAUGAGAGAAUGCACUGAGGAGGAGGAGGAAGGACCGUGAGAGAUUGUGUCGAGAAGGAGGAGAAACCACAAGGGAUCACACUGAGGAGGAAAAGAGGGACCACAAGAGAUCGUGCAGAGGAGUAGGAGGAGGCAGCACUGCUGCUCAGAAGAAGAGGGAUGAGCAUGAAGAUACCACCUGAGGGAACAGUGAGCAGCAACCACCUCACAGUUGCAUUCAUUCACAUCAACAGAUGAGUAUUGGAAACAUGUCAGCCUUCAAUGGGACUACUCUCAGUGCAUUUCCACUGCACCCUUCUUUCAAUGGGGUGUAGUGUAGACACACAAGCAGUCCCCCUAGUACAGAUAAAAACAGCAUGGAGGAAGGUGAGGCAUGAAUAGGUGAGUAAAUACACACUGGAGGAUAUGGGUAUGUACUUAAGCACAUAACCUACCUGGAUUUCUACUUACCCAAGCUGUGCAUCCCCAUCUAUGCUGCUAUUUUUAGCAGUGUAAUGGUCCUGCCACCUCCCCACUGCUGAAGUCUUUCCCUACCACAGGAAAAGUCUCCAGCAGCAGGGAAAGUCUCUGGCAGUGGGGAAAAGGCACUGGAGCCUUUCCCCCAUUGCCUCUCCUCUGCCAGAGCCUUUCACUGACAUGUGUAGCUGUACACAGCAGUGUGGACCCAGCCUGCUUUCCACGCAGUAUGUAGCUACACAUACACUACAUACGUUCUGAGGUAUUGUGUAAAUUUAUUUUUAAAAGGUAGUCUUUGGUAUAACCCAACCAUCCAGACAUUUACUUCAUAUGUUUGUAACUGCACAGUUAACGCCAUUUAUAAAAUCAUCUCAGCCUGUGCCAAAUGCAGGUAAUAAAAAAGGACUAGUCAAGAUACAAGUAAUGAUUUUAAAAUAGUGUUGCUGCCACUGCCUUAUAGGAAACUAAUUUUUUUGAGUUUACUAAACUGUAAGGAUUAUUUAUAUGGUAUAGAAAAAUUAUCAGAUAGGGAAUAAUAGUGAGAAUAUUAUAAUAUCAUCAUAAAUCUACGUAUGCCCUCAUAUUGAAUACGGUCUUCAGUUCUUGUCACCACCUCAUCCUAAAAGAUAUAUAUAGCAGAAGAAGAAAAGGUUGAGAGAUAUAUGACCAAAGCGGUAUGGAAAGACUUGAGGAAAGAUUGUAAAGACUAAAGACUAAGACUGAAAAGAGGUGAAAUCUUUGCCCCAUUGAAGUCAAUGACAAAACUCCUAUUGACUUCCACUGAGCCAGUAUUUCACCUUAAGACUCUUUAGAAAGGAUCUGCAUAAGAGGGGAGAGGAUAGAGGAUUACAAACUAAAGAAUGGUAUAUAUGUCAGUGAGGUGCUUGUAUUUGCCCACUCUAACAAUUCAAGUACAAGGGGGCAUCCAUGAAAGCAAAAGGCAACCAAUUUAAAUCUGAUCCAAGGAAAUACUUUUUUUUAAGAUCAUGAAUAGUUAACCUGUGGAACUUACUGCCACAAGAUAACAUUCAUACCAAGAGCUGAGUAUGAUUCCAAAAAAGAUUAUUCAUUACAUUAAAUAGGGCCUGACAUUGUUAUAAAGGAUAUAAAUCCUCACGUUUCAGAGUGUAAUACCAACACACUUGGUGGGGAUUAAGAAGAAGGUCCUUCUAUGGGCUGGUUAAUUCAUAAUUGUUCACUUUGUGAAUCUUUGCACCUUGUUCAGAAGCAUGUGAUAGUGAAUAGUAUAUAAGACAGGCUACUGCACUAGAUGGCUCACUGGUCUAAUCUGGUAUUUAUUUAAUUAUUAAAUAAAUACUAGUAAUAACUCUUACCCAUUAACAAGUGUUAAACCUGCCCUGUCUACACUAGGGUUUUAAUAUGUGUUGGCUCACAAGUUUUAAAAACACAUCUUUCCUCCUUGUCUAGACAAGUGCUUAGUGAGCGGUUUUUGUAAGGAUACUUUAUGCUGCUUUGGAUACUUUCAUUGGUGCUAGGACCUUCCUGUCACUUGAAAUAAUCUGGGUUUGGCAGAGAUGGGCCACAUGCAGGCCCAUCUCUAGUUUUGAUCUUAUUUGUGGGCAGCCUCCAACUGCCUCCUGGCAAAAGCGCUUGAAAAUAAAGAACAUAUAUUGGUAAUUACUUCAUUUACUGUUUACAAUUGGCUCAGCCUAAACUGUGAAACUAGACUGGUCCAUUUCCCUUUCUGUUUGGAGGCACUUUCUCUUUUUGGCUCUUAUACACGGGUACAGUACAGUCAUGUUUGGAUUUCCAACUCUUAAAUAGUAAGCCAACAGGCUUAAAUAAUAAGACAUCUCCACUGCAGUUUUAAUUUUUAAACCAUUAGAGAGAACAUUUAUAUCAUAAGAGGUGUGGAACUCACCUCCCUUUAUUAAAAAAUAAAAAAAAUCAACUACAUUUCUGCUUGUACUUCUUGUCUGUGUCCUUUUAACACCACUCAACAGCUGUUAAAUUGGAUAAUCUCCAGUUAUCCUCAUGUCACUAAUUCAAAUGCUAAUUGCUCUCACUGCACCAGAGUUUAUUCAUCCACUCCAGGGCCGCCAGGUAUGCUCUGUAUGAGAAGGACAUUAAAGUAACUAAGCUCCCUCCUGGGAUUCUGGAAGCAUUUAAAGAAAUAGUUCCAGAUUAAUUUGGAAAGGAGAUAGUGGAUAGAAAUAAAGGAAAAUAAGAUGGGGAAGAAGCCAGUGUGGAGCACUUGCGUGUUUUGAUGUGUCAAAAGUGAUCCAUUUAUCACUCUGGUUUUUAGACAUUGUGCACCAAAUUCAACCCUCAAAGGACGCAAGUGGGGAUCAGAGUUUCAUUGUCCUACAUGCAGUAUGCACCCACAGGAAGACACAAUCCCUGCCUUGAGGAGCUUACAAUCUACUUUGAAACAAGAUGCAACUUCAUAAGAAUAAAUCGACAUGCUUUCUAUUGAAUGAUUAACUACUUUGCUGUAGAUGCUCAUGUAUGCGUCAGGCAGGGCUGCCGGGGCGGGGGGGGGGGGGAAGCAAGUGGGGCAAUUUGCCUCAGGCCCAGGGCCCCGCAGCGGCCCCCAUGAGAAUAUAUUAUUCUAGAGUACUGCAACUUUUUUUUAUGGAAGGGGCCCCCAAAAUUGCUUUGCCCCAGGCCCCCUGAAUCCUCUGGGCAGCCCUGGCAUCAGGCACAACGUUUCUCCAGCUGUGCUCACCUGGACCAAGUACCGAGUGGUCACCCUUGCCGUGCAAACAUUCUAUUGGAACUCUGGCACAUUUAAGGAAUACUGCCAUGCUCCAGUGCAGCAGAGAAGAGACUGUGGAAGCCAGCAGCAAAGGCCUCAAAUUAAAAUGACUUUCUAUGGGCCAUAUCUUGCAGCUAGAUCCCUGUGGGUGGACCCCUACACUCACAAAGACCCAAUUGCCAGAUAUGGUCCUAGUUAAAUAUGUUCAUUCAGAUUUCAAACAGACCACCUGGUAGACUGAAUCUGGCACUCAUCCCAGGGUAAAAUGAACAAUUCAAAUCACCAAGCAGGACAACCCCAAAAUACUCUCCAGUGAAGUUUAUUCCUGCUACAGGAGUAUCAGGCUACCCAUUAAUCUCUGUAAUAAGUGUUAUAGUGGUGUCUAUUCUUGGUGGUUGGUCUGACUGAGCCAGAGGCAAGGGGGAUCUGUUUAGCUUUCAAUUUUUAAAGGAUUUGUCUUCACUAGAAAGUUGUAGUCCUUUAACUAUACUGGUGUAUUAAAGCAGUACACACAAUCCUAGUAUGGAUGCAGUUGUAUCAGUAUAAAGCUAGAAUAAAAGGGAAAUAAGUCAUACUGGUAUAUGGCUCCCUUAUAUUGGUAUAAUUGUGUCCACACUACGGGUUGCACUGGUAUAACCAUAAAGGUAAAGAAACACACCCCUAACCUAAAUAGUUGUACCAUCCCAAAAACUCUUUCCUUAUGAUAUUGCUAAUAGCUUGUUUUCAAGGUAAUACAUGGAUAGCAAGUUGCACCUGCUUCAUGUGUUAGUUCCUUGCAUUACACAGGUGCCACUGGAAUACAUGGUACCAGCUAAAGCAAAAAUCACAGACCAUAUGGGGCAUAACACAUCUGUAGAUUACAUCUGCUGCCACAGCUGGCAUUUCAGAAGACCCUACUCCCUCACAGGCACCUCAGAGGACCCCAACAGCCCCAGCCAUUCUUGUGGCAAUGUGAGAGUACGCAGAUGCUGCAUUGCUGCCAUUUAAGUCUCCAGACAGACACGUGAGAGGGACAGGACAAGUCGGUAUAAUAAUAACCUGGAAGGGAAGAAACAGAAGGAGAAGAUGGGAGCAGAACAGGGAGUGGAAGAGGGAAUUGGAACCAUGUAUCAUACCAUUAACAGGCACAUUUUCAACUGUGAGGCUAACACAUCACAUGGGGGGCUGGUGACUUGAUCUUUGCUUCCAUGGUUUGAUGACAGCCGAACCACUCCAUGGGAUUACGGCCCCAUACUGUAAUUCACAGAUUUCUUUUGUUCUGUAUAUGAUUCAGAUAGAACCAGGUUGCAUGCCAAGGUGAUGAAACUCCAGCCCACUCCCACAACGCUGGACAGAUGCACUUUGCUGGUCUGCUGACGACACCCUAAAAAACAUGGAUUGCCUCCUUGGUGUAGUAUAUCUGCUGAAGGAAGUGAUCCAGUCUCAUCUACAAGUUGUCAUCGGAAUCUGUCUGGUAGCAUUUAGCUGCAGUCUUGGCUUUCUUGUGUCAGGUUGGGGUGUUUCCUACAUCAAAGUGGAAGUAAGAAUGCUGCCCACAACUCACAGACAAAUUGAGGAGCUCAGAACAGACACAAAGUUAAGCUUAAAUUUGGUGCUUUGUCUUCACAUAUUACAUUUUGCAGCUCCCAAGGGUCUUCAUGGAAUCCAGUCAUAUAUUAGGUAUAGUACAGAGAGGCGGUCUCUUACUCCUUUCGACUCCAAUGGCACUUUAUUCUUGGGGAGAGGGUAAUAUUUUAAUAUUGGGUUUUGUUGCAAAUUUAAUCACUCUUAGCUUCUAAAGAGCCAAGUUUGAAGGCGACAGUUAAUUAUGAGGAGCUGAUUACCAGUCAGGGCAAAGAAAUAACAGAAUUUGAAAACAGGAUCUUGGAAAGACUAGAAAAAUGGUCUGGAAACAAAACAAGACUCAACCUGGAAAAAUAAGCCAAACUUAUGCCUUUGGGUACAAUUAUCCGAAAUACACAACAGCAAUGGGAGAGAGUAAAGAGAUGAGCAACAAAAGUGGUUAAGGAGUUGAUUUACAAGGUGAGAUGAAAACAAUUAAAUAGUAUGUCCAAUUUGGCUAAGAAACUGCAAGAGGAAGGGAAGACAUAAGAGUCUACAAAUAUUUGAAGGGUGUAUACAUCAAAGAGAGAACAGGAUUAUUUAGCAUAUUCAAAAGAGUAAGUAAUGCAUAAAGUAAAUAACAAGUAGGAGUAAUGGUAUGACAUUUUAUAAGUGGAAACUUAGGCAGAAGAGCAGGAAAAGCUUCCUGACAGAGAUGUAUUAGCAUCUGGAAUCAUCCCCCAAAGGAAGUCCUGGAAGCCUCAUCACUUGGCACAUAUAAGCUGGACUGGAUAAAACUGCAAGUACUGGAAGUGCCUGAUCCAAAGCCACUGAAGUCAAUGGAAAGUCUCCCCAUUGAGUUCUAUGGGGUUUGGAUCAGACCCUAAAUAUCAAGCAGGGAACAAUCCUGCAAUGGAGAGAUGAACUGUCAGUAAGUGACUUUACAAAAAGGAUCCAGGGUGGUAGUAGCCUGCACCAAAUAAAAAGGAAAACAAGUGCAAAAUUAAGAAGAAAAUAAGGCAUCCUGCUGCUUUAAAGCAACACGGCUGUCUGUGAAGAGCUGCUCUGCUUGGGCCAACAGAGAAAGAGAGAGAGAGAGUCAGGAGGGUUGAGGUUUUCAUUAGCCCCUGGGAGAAUCAUGGGAGAAUCAAUUGCCAAACAAAGACAACUUCACUUUACCCAGGGCAGGAUAUGUGUGGGGGUGAGAGAGAGAGAGAGAGAGAGAAUGUGUGUGAGAGAGAAUGUGCACUGUAUUUUUAAAUGUGCAAGAAGCCGAGCUGGAGAAGGCUGGAGCCAAGCAGAGGGCAAGGCAGAAUAGCUACACAGUUAAUACUGUUUUCCUUAUUCUAAUAAAGUUCCUUGUUCAGUUUUAGAAGUAACCAACACACUGUGAUUUUUGUUCACCAUAAAAAUGGACAGUGCACUGCUUCCUUCCCAAGAGCUCCCUAGUCUACCACCCAUUUCUAUUAAUACCCUUUCUUGGGCUGAGCAGUGUGAGACAGACCUUCUGCCUGGUUUUCAUUGCAUGCAAUUAACCCCCUCCCUGCCUAUCUGUGUGAGGUAUAUACACUCCAUCACCACUGUUGAAUAGGGAUAUUCUGUCUCCAGAUUCUAUGGGCCAAAAUCUGUUAUCAGCUGCACCGGUGUGAAUGUGGAAUCGUUCCACUGACUGUAUAAGAGAACUGAAUUUGCGUCUAUGAUUCUGUGAAACUUUCCUCUCUGACAAAUAAAUAUUUAAAUUAUAUUUUUAAUUAAAAAAAAAUUAUCAGUUGAAAGUGUGUGUGUGUGUGUGUGUGUGAGUACCCCUUCCCAUACAUCCACAAAUUUCUGCAAGUAAUCAUGGAAUUUGCCUUCCAUCAGUCAUCAUUCUGCUUGUAUGCAUACUGUAUCCCUUUACUCUUACCUUUUGUCUGUACUGUCUGUUUAGAUUGUAAACUCUUUGGGGGAAAGGACAUUCAGUCUAAUAAACCCAUAUAAAACAAUUUAAAAUGAAGUUAAGGCUGACAGUAUAUUUUAGUAAUUUAAAGGCAAAAAACAUUAUGGGGAUGUUGCAAUUAUUCCCAAACCAAACAUUACAAGCCUAGGAAAUUCAGAGUUAAAGUUACACUUAAAAAAAAUCCGAAGAGGCUAAGGUACAGAAAUGCAUAGCCAAGGUACACAAACAAUCUUAACUCUGCCCUGCAGUGACACACAACCACACCAUUGUGAUCAGGAGUGAAAGUGAGCCGGUACGGGCCGGUACUCCGUACUGGUAAGAACCCGCACCGGUCCAUACCCAGCCCGUAUUAAAGUGCUGCCGCGGCAGUGCUUUAAUGUCCCUGCCCCUUUUGCCUCCCCUGUCGGGGGCCCUGCCGGUAGGGUCCAUACCGGCAGGGCUGCCAAUGGGGGGUGGGGGGAGGGAGCCGCAGCAACGUUAAAGCGCUGCUGUGGCAAAGGACCCUGCAGCACU